AUGUCUUCUUGUUUUAUUUAAGAAGUCUGGCCUGCUCACUGAGAUAUUGAAGAGCUGCAGUAUUUUGACUGUACAAAGGUAGCACAAUCAUUAGUCUUUUAAUUGGGGACUGGUAUGAAAGGUUUGACAAAGCGUUAUUAUUUUAGUUUUAUAUUCUAAAGUUUUCUUUUAUGUUAAAAGACAUAAAUUAAAAUAAGGGACAAGAAGACCCUUUAAACUUAAUUUGUGCUUUAGUUUAUUAUUUUUGUUAAUAAAAUAGAAGCUGAUGAACAUUUUUAACUGGGGCGGCGAAUAUAAUUUAUCUAUAUUUUUUAUAAGUUUGACAAGAAUAUUUUAUUUGAUCCUCUAUUAAGGAUAAAGGAAAUAGUUACUGAAGGGAUAACAGCGUAAUGUUUUUGAGAGUUCUGAUUGAAUGAAAUGUUUGCGA
rnacentral:rRNA from 1 species